rnacentral:rRNA from 1 species
GGGACACGUGAAACCCUGUGGGAAGCAGGAGGGACCACCCUCCAAGGCUAAAUACUACCUAGUGACCGAUAGCGUAUAGUACCGUGAGGGAAAGGUGAAAAGAACCCCGGGAGGGGAGUGAAAUAGAACCUGAAACCCUGCACUUACAAGCUGUGGAAGCACAUUUCUUGUGUGACCGCGUACUUUUUGUAGAACGGGCCAACGAGUUACGUUAAGUAGCAAGGUUAAGCACUUAAGGUGCGGAGCCGUAGCGAAAGCGAGUUUUAACUGAGCGUUCAGUUACUUGACGUAGACCCGAAACCGGGCGACCUACCCAUGAGCAGGAUGAAGCGAAAGUAAAAUUUCGUGGAGGUCCGAACCCACGAGCGUUGAAAAGCUCGGGGAUGACUUGUGGGUAGCGGUGAAAUUCCAAUCGAGCCCGGAGAUAGCUGGUUCUCCCCGAAAUAGCUUUAGGGCUAGCCUCAAGGUGAGAGAUACGGAGGUAGAGCACUGAAUGUCCUAGGGGGUAUUGCACCUACCGAAGACUAUCAAACUCCGAAUGCCGUCAUCUUAUACUUGGGAGUCAGACUGUGGGUGAUAAGAUUCAUAGUCGAAAGGGCAACAGCCCAGAUCGUCAGCUAAGGUCCCUAAAUGUAAGUUAAGUGGUAAAGGAUGUGGGAUUGCACAGACAACCAGGAUGUUGGCUUAGAAGCAGCCACUCAUUCAAAGAGUGCGUAAUAGCUCACUGGUCGAGUGAUCCUGCGCCGAAGAUUUCCGGGGCUAAAACUUACUACCGAAGCUACGGCAUCAGUAAUGAUGGGUAGGGGAGCUUCCCAUACGGGUUGAAGCAUGACCGUAAGGACAUGUGGACAGUAUGGGAGUGAGAAUGUUGGCAUGAGUAGCGAGAUGUGGGUGAGAAUCCCACAGGCCGUAAACCCAAGGUUUCCAGGGGAAGGUUCGUCCGCCCUGGGUUAGUCGGGACCUAAGCUGAGGCCGAAAGGCGUAGGUGAUGGACAACAGGUUGAUAUUCCUGUACUACCGAUAACCGUUUGAGAGAAGGGAUGACACAGUAGGAUAAGCUAAGCACACUGUUGGUUAUGUGUGCCCAAGCAUUGAGGCAGUCAAAGUAGGCAAAUCCGCUUUGAUAAUGCUGGGAUGUGAUGGGGAGCGAAAUUUAGUAGCGAAGUAGCUGAUUUCACACUGUCAAGAAAAGUCUCUAUCGAGGUUAAAGGUACCCGUACCGCAAACCGACACAGGUGGGUGAGGAGAGUAUCCUAAGGCCAGCGAGAGAACUGUUGUUAAGGAACUCGGCAAAAUGACCCCGUAACUUAGGGAUAAGGGGUGCCACCAUCAGGUGGCCGCAGAGAAUAGGCCCAAGCGACUGUUUACCAAAAACAUAGGUUUCUGCUAAGUCGCAAGACGAUGUAUAGGAGCUGACGCCUGCCCGGUGCUGGAAGGUUAAGGGGAUCUGUUAGAGCAAUCGAAGCAGUGAACUUAAGCCCCAGUAAACGGCGGCCGUAACUAUAACGGUCCUAAGGUAGCGAAAUUCCUUGUCGGGUAAGUUCCGACCCGCACGAAAGGCGUAACGAUUUGGGCACUGUCUCAACAACAGACUCGGUGAAAUUGUAAUUCCGGUGAAGAUGCCGGAUACCUGCGACAGGACGGAAAGACCCCAUGGAGCUUUACUGUAGCUUGACAUUGGGUCUUGGUACUACAUGUACAGGAUAGGUGGGAGGCUUUGAAACCAGGACGCCAGUUUUGGCGGAGCCAUCCUUGGGAUACCACCCUUGUAGUACUGGGACUCUAACCAUAGGCCAUGAAUCUGGUCUUGGGACACUGUCAGGUGGGCAGUUUGACUGGGGCGGUCGCCUCCCAAAAGGUAACGGAGGCGCUCAAAGGUUCUCUCAGUACGGUCGGAAAU